AUCAUGAAAUAAAUGUGUGUUAAAAUGAUCCACUUGAAAUAAAUAAUUAAAAUAAAAUAUUAACAUUAAAUAAAUAUGAAAUUAAAAAUUAAAUAAAAUUAAAUAAAACAUUAAGAAAUGUGGAAAAUAUUUUUUGGUAUUUUUAUGAAUAAAGAAAAUAUUUUUAAAUCAUUAAAAUCAAGGCAGAAAAUAAAAUGGGAAUAAAA
rnacentral:lncRNA from 1 species